rnacentral:rRNA from 1 species
UACGGAGGGGACUAGCGUUGUUCGGAAUUACUGGGCGUAAAGCGCACGUAGGCGGCUUUGCAAGUCAGGGGUGAAAUCCCGGGGCUCAACCUCGGAACUGCCUUUGAUACUGCAAAUCUCGAGUCCGGAAGAGGUGAGUGGAAUUCCUAGUGUAGAGGUGAAAUUCGUAGAUAUUAGGAAGAACACCAGUGGCGAAGGCGGCUCACUGGGCCGGUACUGACGCUGAGGUGCGAAAGCGUGGGGAGCAAACAGG